rnacentral:tRNA from 1 species
GGAGAGGUGCCAGAGUGGCCGAUCGGGGCGGUCUCGAAAACCGCUGUCCUGCUUUGCGGGACCGUGGGUUCGAAUCCCACCCUCUCCGCCA